rnacentral:ncRNA from 1 species
GAUACUGUGAGGAUUAUGCCUUACAGUGCAGCAAUUCCCGCACACGAUGUGCGGGAAAGGUGCAUCCGAGCCAUGGAUGGCGAGUAUGCACCGGUUGCGUCCGUCUGACAUAAAUACACGCAUAAUCCCACAGUAUCCAGACAGCGA